UAGGUUUAGGGCACUGGAAGGUCCCUAAACCGAAAGGGGCUCUGCCCGCCCGAGGAUGGGCCGGCGGCCGAUUAGGUAGUUGGUGGGGUAACGGCCCACCAAGCCCAUAAUCGGUACGGGCAGUGAGAGCUGGAGCCCGGAGAUGGACACUGAGACACGGGUCCAGGCCCUACGGGGCGCAGCAGGCGCGAAACCUCCGCAAUGCUCGAAAGAGCGACGGGGGGACCCCAAGUGCCGUGGUACAACCACGGCUUUUCCGGAGUGUAAGAAGCUCCGGGAAUAAGGGCUGGGCAAGGCCGGUGGCAGCCGCCGCGGUAAUACCGGCGGCCCGAGUGGUGGCCACUAUUAUUGGGCCUAAAGCGUCCGUAGCCGGGCUUGUAAGUCCCUGGCGAAAUCCCACGGCUCAACCGUGGGGCUUGCUGGGGAUACUGCAAGCCUUGGGACCGGGAGAGGCCGGGGGUACUCCUGGGGUAGGGGUGAAAUCCUAUAAUCCCAGGAGGACCGCCAGUGGCGAAGGCGCCCGGCUGGAACGGGUCCGACGGUGAGGGACGAAGGCCAGGGGAGCAAACCGGAUUAGAUACCCGGGUAGUCCUGGCUGUAAAGGAUGCGGGCUAGGUGUUGCUUGGACCUCGAGUCCAAGCAGUGCCGC
rnacentral:rRNA from 1 species